GUAUAUGAAGCUGUUGACGCGUAAAAUUUAAACAGGUAUAACAUAAGUGGGUGAAUUAAAAAAUUGUUUUCUUAUUUUAUUUUCAUCGUUCCAUAUAUUUUAUUCGUAUUAUACGACAUAGGCACUCUUGGAAGGUCUAUAUCCCUCGGCGAAAGAAACGUAUCCACACCUCUCAUUACAGUCUUCGUCUAUAAGCCCUUAAUGAGCCGGGCAGAAGUAUUUUUUCCUCGCUUACGUGGCCGCUUUCUCGUUCCGUGAUUACACCGGCCGGCACGCAUCAAAUCGUUUUCUCCGCCUCCAGAGCUGUGGAAACAAUAUCUGUACGAACAGCGCUAACGUGGUGGAUAUUUUAUCCUUUGGAGUCAAAAUCAACGAUGUAUACACCUACACGGUAAUAUUUUUUUUAUACCCUUCAAUCAUAGCAUAACGGUAUCUUCUAUAUAUUCAUCGAUACAACACACUGUACUGACGUGGACUUACCGCAAUGUGUACUUGAGGUAGAUGAACGUUGCUGCAGAAGCAAUAUUUUGUUUUAUCAAAACGUUGACGUGGCCCUUGCAAUUCACGCAUGCACAUGCAAUGUUUUUCGCUAUAUGAGUUCGACAUAAAAUAAGGCGUAUCCUAAUGUCAAUCGUAAAAACAUGUCUGGUAUACUGUACUUUGAGGUUUCAUGUGCAGUAUCACUCGACGUAUUAUGAAAUAAAUUAAGUUACAAAAAAUUAGAGACUUUAUUCGCAAAAAUGCAUACGUCUAUGUAUUAGGAAUAUUAAUUGUGCGAAAUGGUACGAUUUUAUCGCGAGAUAUAUAAUUCAGCCCUCGUAUACGAUGUACAGUCAGUCUUAAUAUAGGGGUAUAGUGGUUUCAAUUGUUUUUAGCUUAACUAACACUAGAUAAAAGAAACACAAUGAGAUUACU